GAUGAACGCUGGCGGCGUGCCUAAUACAUGCAAGUCGAGCGAACAGACGAGGAGCUUGCUCCUCUGACGUUAGCGGCGGACGGGUGAGUAACACGUGGAUAACCUACCUAUAAGACUUGGAUAACUUCGGGAAACCGGAGCUAAUACCGGAUAAUAUAUUGAACCGCAUGGUUCAAUAGUGUAAGACGGUUUUGCUGUCACUUAUAGAUGGAUCCGCGCCGCAUUAGCUAGUUGGUAAGGUAACGGCUUACCAAGGCAACGAUGCGUAGCCGACCUGAGAGGGUGAUCGGCCACACUGGAACUGAGACACGGUCCAGACUCCUACGGGAGGCAGCAGUAGGGAAUCUUCCGCAAUGGGCGAAAGCUUGACGGAGCAACGCCGCGUGAGUGAUGAAGGUCUUCGGAUCGUAAAACUCUGUUAUUAGGGAAGAACAAAUGUGUAAGUAACUAUGCACGUCUUGACGGUACCUAAUCAGAAAGCCACGGCUAACUACGUG
rnacentral:rRNA from 1 species